ensembl:ncRNA lncRNA:CR43831 long non-coding RNA:CR43831
CUUAAUGAAGAUUUCACCAAAAUAUUGUGAUUCGUUUGAUAUUGAUAUUCAUUUUGUAUUCUUCCCUAAAAUUUUGUCCUAUGUAAAUUCGACGCUAACCCUUGGCACUGCCAACGCCCAGCCUUUCCCCCUCUGCUCAGCAGCUUAUCAAAAGGACACACCCAGGAACAAGAAUUGCGCUAAUUAGACCGACAACAGCCACGCACAUCAUCAACAUGCCCGCCUUUCGGCCAUGAAUCAGGAUAUUGCCGCACCCAUCUUGCGGCAAGUGUAAACAUAAUACGUGGUGUUCCACAGAAAAACUAUUUGCCCAAUAAAUCAAAUUGACUGAACGGUGGCAAGUAGAGCCG